UCGUCCACUCGUCGUCCAAGAAGGAAAGGAAAAAACAAUACCCAAUCAGUCCCGUCUGCUGCUCACAUCAAAUCCUCGUGUCCCGCCGACUCCACCGUCCUCUCCAAACCCGGCGCCGCCCCUCCCCUCCUGCCAUCCGCCGGCGACGGCCCCUCCUCCCAUCUGAUGGUCGGCCGCUCCUCUCCUCUCCUCCGGACCCAGUGCGCAAAAUCCUAGCAGCAGUAGCCGGGGAUCGGGAUGCCGCCGCAACUGCUUCUCCUCGCCGCCGGCACCCCACCUCUGUCCGGGACGUCGCCCCGGUGUCCCUCCUCCCCCCACCGCCACUCCAUCUUCAAGGACCAGCAGCCGCCAGGCCAGAUCCAUCUCCCUACCGCUGGGGAGUGGCACCCUCCGGCCACCUCUGCGUGGUCGCUCACCGGCACGCUGUCGACGCGGACGGAACCUCGCAAGGGGAUGAGGAGGAUGCCCUGACCUGAAAAAGUCAAAUUGAGGUUCCUAUUUGGUGGUCUCCGCCAUGGAUGCGCCAAGACAUGGAGGAUCUGGUCGCGUGAAAGCCGGUUCCAGGAGGCGUCCAUUUCGUGCAGGAGCCUGCCCCCAAGGCUCACUAUGGCUACCUCGCCGCUCAGAACAUUGUCAACAUCGGCGUCCAAAGACAAAGCGCACCAAGAACCCUGGAAUUGUUGGCAAAUAUGGUAUGGUGCCUGAUACACAGUGGAUGUACUCGUCGUCGUUGCUUGCCCUCAUGCAGUUCUUCCAAUGGCACACCAACCACACUACUGUCGGUGGGAUCCAUCGUCCAGUACGCCCACGUCGCCAAGCGCCCAGGUCAAGCAAGUUUUUGGCAGGCAUCAUCACGCAUAUAUGAUCUUGAAGUCACCUUAGAUGUUCGAAUUCAGAACAGAAACAAAGCAGUAGGGUCCCAAUCAUAUAUGAAGGUGGAACAUCAUGGCUACGGCUACAUACAGAUACUAGACCUGUUGAGCCCGAACAUGUCCAUCCAGAGAGCCUGCACAUGCAUGGAGGGAAAACUCAAAGGAUCAUCCUUUGAAACAAGGUGCUAUUGCCAGAUUUUGAGCAAGGAUAUAACCCAAUGGUGUCUGGGUUGAUCGAGGCCAAGAGGACCUGCUGCAAGUGGCAAAUGGUCACCUAUAGCAGCUGUUGUGCUUUCGGCCUCUGCUACAAAUCUCUGUUGGUGAGCUAUAGUCCACCCGAAGCUGCUGCCAACGUCUUCCGGCGACCACGUCCCCCAACAUGCUAUGAGCAACUGAAAAAGUUAGUUAAGAAAUCCUUGCUUGUUUGGAGAAAACUAAGUAGUUGAGAUCACCAUGCGUACUCAGCACACCGGCCAGCAUCACCACCGUGCACCACCAUGGCUGCCACUCGACGAAUAGCAAGCAAGAUGGUGGUGCGGUUGUGCUCGCCCUACGGGACACCGUCCUGCUUGUCCUUGAUGUCCUUCAAAGAUGCCAGCAGCAGUGCCGGCGCAACUCUACCCUCUAUCAACAGAGCUCUCGUGAUGAAGGACCUGCGCAUUUUCGGCGUCUUCCCCGAAAUAUCACAGCAGGAGAAAAGAUCAUUGGAUGUUAGUGCUCCUCCAACCGUAGGAAAAAGCAGCAGGGCAAGCUUUUUUCUCCCGAGAUCAAGCAGGAUCACAAAAACAGUCAUGGGAAGGAGUCGGUACUGAACCUUGCAGCAGCUAAUAUUUCUACUUUUGGGACUGGUGAUGGGAGCACAAUAGUGGUUUCUUGCUCUGUAGGUACGGUGUUGUGUACUUUUUUUAGGAUUGUUUCCUUUUUAAAUAGUUACUCAUUAACCUGACCUGCUUAAUAUAAUAGCCUUUAAUAUCACGCAUCUUGCACAGAUCUAACGGUCCACAAACAUGUGCCAUUACUGUGUCAUUAAACAUGUGUUGAAAUUCUUUUUUUCUUUUGCAUUUAGAUUUUAACUUUUAUUUCAGCAUUCAUUAUUUCACCAUGUUCCAUAAUUCCAUAUACUAUGCAGCUGGAGUCUUUUUUCCUAUCGUGACUAAGAUCUAUUGCUGCAAUACUGUACACUUGUAUAAUGUUCAGUAAACUAGUAAGAUUUGAUGAGAAUUGUUGCACCAUGUUUCAUUUAGAUAUGGAAAAAAAUGUACUCGCUGACUGACAGGUGCAUGGUGAGGUGACCCAUCUAUGGUUGGCCUGGGUCUCUGAGGUUCAUGUAGUGUGACUGAGAUUUGGAUUUUAUGGGGACUAGUAGGAUUUAGUGUAGCAUAGUAUCGCGACAGAAAAUUACCAUAGUUAAUAGAACUGGAUCAGUUCCAAACCCUUACUGUAGUCUUGGAGAGGUUGCAGUUUGAUCAAUCAAAUGAACCAAAACAGUCCAUUAAGCAAACCUGACUGGACCAGGCGGUGAUUAGGCUUUUCCUAGUUAAGCCGUCGGUAAGAUCUGGUUUUAAGAACUGCUCGCUCGAGGUAACAUGCAUUUGUUAUUUAUGCAACACAUGUACACUAGGAGUGUGCUAUUUCCUGAUGCAGUUGUAACCCAAGAAUUGAUUUUGUAACACGAGGACCUUAUUCCAGGAUAGAAGCUUUAUUUUGUAUUAAGAUUUAAUUUUUGAACUAUUUGCAGCAACCCGAUAUCAAAAUUUGGCAUGGAAACAAGGGAAAGGAUACAAGCUCGUGCUACUCAUGGGACUCGUGAUGGGACCACAUUAGGCCUCGUUCGGCACGGAGGUUUUUUAGGGAUUGGAGUGUAUAAUUUUUUCGGGCCAGCACAAAAUCACCGCAAACAACUGCUGAACUGUUCGGUAGGCGUGGUUUAAAGCGGUUUGAAAGGUCUAGCCCCAAGUAUUACCGAAAAACCAGGCAAGACACGUGUGAAUCGAAACGCUAAGUACCCCUCGCGUUUCUCUCUCGCGAAAUUGCCGUCGUAUAUCGGAAACAGCGGGCUCUCGUGGCUGCCAGCGAUCAGGAACGGCGGGACCUUCGGGUGUUUGUUAUUCUUCCCAAUAGCAAUCGUUGAAGGCCUUGAAUGCUGGAAACCAACAGCCCACGACGGGGAAAGCUCCCUAGACCAAACCGAUUCAGCUGAAAACACGUCAAUCCACGCCACAAUCACCCAAAACACUUGAGAUCAAACACGGCAAUCUAAGUCUGUCGAACGAGGCCUUAGUGAUUUCUUGUUCUGAAGGUACGGGGCUGUGUAUUUCUUAGGAUUGUUUCCUUCUUAAAUAGUUACUCAUACCCUGUUGGCCCUUAUCGGAUAUAGGUGCUAUGACAUUUUAUCGCUAAUACCGAGAAUUCGCAUUCGUAUAUAGAUUUUAGUGAUGGACAUAGAAGUAAGUCUGCUAAUCUUGUACUUUUCUUUUUUCAAAUAAUUUAUAUUUGUUCCUUUUCAGAGUUAAUGAUCUCUGUUCUUUUAGUGAAGUGUCAUGUUGACGAGGAUCCAAAAACCUUGAAAGUUUUCGCAAUCUUGCUGCAUGAUCCAAAAUGUUGUGAUUGCCUGAACAAUCACAUGGGCAUCUCCCCAGAUGGUAAAGUUCUGGAUGUAACAAGUGGAUCGACGUUGGAAAGCUUACCAUUUUGUCCAUUUGAAUGUGAACAGGUUAACUUGCUCUACAUGUUCACAAGGGGUUUUCACAUACAUGGAUGUGUUUGCUGUUGCAGAUUAGCAGCACGGAAUGAGAAUUGGCUGGCCGGAAACAAUUGGUCCUCCUGUUUUCUAAAUGGCUAUCUGUCUAACAAUUUGAAGCUUGUAGUGAUUCAACCCCAUCGAUGAUAUAACUUGGUGUAAAUUCGGUUUACCCGAUUUAAAUUUUGGACGCUGUAGUGCCCGAUGCAUAUGUUUCAUUACUCCUUUUGAGUUUUGGAUCACGUGUGUUACACUUAUUGUAGGCCCGAAGAGGAGGUGGGCUAUGGUUACCCUUGCCCCUGAGAAGGGUGAACCAGGCCAUCUACCUGCUCACCACCGGUGCUAUGUGCCUUCAGGACCAUCAAGAGUCAGGGUCUCAUGGAUGCAUUUCUGAGUGCCUUGCUGAUAAGUUGAUCAACGGCUCAUCCAACAGCAAUAGCAGGUUGUUUGCUGUUGCAGGAUGGAUGGAAGGAGCCAUUGCUGCAGGACCCAGCUGGCCAGACAUGCCUUAUUAGUUUAUUUCUUCAAGUGAUGUCAUAGCCAGCUAGAUGCUUAUUGGCAGCGAUGGAAUGGGCUGGCUGGAAGCAAUUGGUCCUCGUGUUUUCUUAAUGGAUAUCUGUAUCGAAAUAUGAUUAAAUGGGUAACAUGCUGAUGACAAUGGUGAGUGGAAAGCGGGAGAUGAGAUGGAUCGCUGGCACCGUUUGAGCUAUGAAAGAUGUGAGGAACGUCAUGGUGCAUCUGAGCUCCCCGCUGGAUUUAUUUGGCACGUACAUACUAGAAUAUCAACGUUGUGGGUUGAAGUCGGGUAGCCGUCUUGUUUGCCUGAUGGAUGGAUACCCAGCCGAGUGGUUCGUUUUAUCACUGCAAGCUAGCUUAACACCCAUUGGGUCUUUUUGUUGAAUGGUUUAAAAUAUAUUUUGAAUUAUUUUGGUUGAGACAAACCAACUUAGUUGGCAGCAUGUAUCCACUGUUUGCACUUGGGAAUCCUGAUUUGUUCCAGAAUUUGUGUGUGAUAACUUGGUGGAUGGUUCAAAAAUUCUUGUGUAUAUAUAUUUAAGUUUAAAGUGCAAUAUUACUUAAUGCAUAUCAA